rnacentral:rRNA from 1 species
UACGAAGGGGGCUAGCGUUGCUCGGAAUCACUGGGCGUAAAGCGCACGUAGGCGGAUUUUUAAGUCAGGGGUGAAAUCCUGGAGCUCAACUCCAGAACUGCCUUUGAUACUGGGAAUCUCGAGUCCGGGAGAGGUGAGUGGAACUGCGAGUGUAGAGGUGAAAUUCGUAGAUAUUCGCAAGAACACCAGUGGCGAAGGCGGCUCACCGGCCCGGUACUGACGCUGAGGUGCGAAAGCGUGGGGAGCAAACAGG